rnacentral:RNase_P_RNA from 1 species
AGAUAAUCGGACAGCCGCGCAUUGGCUUGACUAAUGUGAGGAAAGUCCGGGCAUCAGGGAAACACGGCACCGGAUAACGUCCGGCUGGGGAAACCCAAGGGAAAGUGCCACAGAAAACAACCGCCCGUCUAUAUGUCGGGUAAGGAUGAAAAGGCGAGGUAAGAGCUCACCGCACCUUUGGCAACAAAGGUGGCAUCGGUAAACCCUGUCGGAUGCAAGACCAAGUUAGGAGCUUCCAGGUGUCUUUUUAAGACAAACCGGAUGAUACGGAGCGUUUCUCCUCCACUCCAGAGGUAGGUCGCGUUGAGCCGGAUAGCAAUAUUCGGUCUAGAUUAAUGGCUGUCGGUUUGUCUUUGACAAAUUACAGAACCCGGCUUACAGAUUGUCUCGA